CCGCCAGCAAUGGUAAGGAUGAAAUGGUAGUGUAAGAGACUACCGCUUUAAUGGUAACAUUAAAGGUCAGUGUAAACCCCAUCCGAAGCAAGACCGAGCAGAAAGUAUUGGUUGCCCGCCAGCUUUCGGGUAGGUUGCUUGAGCUAAGUGGCAACAUUUAGCCUAGAUAGAUGAUUAUCCAAGACAUAACCCGGCUUACAGCCUUACUCAUUUU
rnacentral:ncRNA from 2 species